GAGGGUGUAGCUCAAGUGGUAGAGCACGUGCUUAGCAUGCACUGGAUCCUGGGUUCAAUCCUCAGUACCCCA
rnacentral:tRNA from 1 species